rnacentral:misc_RNA from 1 species
AUUGUGUGAUUUUUAUUUUCAUUUUGAUUUGAUAAGAACGCCACACUUUUUCCCCAAAAUUUUGGAUAUUGACGAUGAGUGUUAUGUUUUAUGGUCGUUUUUCUUGUUUUUUGAUUCUUCUUCAUUUCCAGUAGUGGUGAAUUUAAAUUGAUUUUUAGGAGAUGUAAAACACCUCAAAAAUUGUAGAGCAGCAGAGCUUUCUAUGCCAUAUGUACACCCAGGGAGUUCCCCCUUAUCACUAAGCAUUCAUGUUUGCAAGAUUUUCAUAUACAUUACUAACAGCAACCUUUCCAAUCUCAAUUCUUUAUUCAAAUAUCAUAAGUUUUUACUAUUCAAAAUUGAUUAAAUAGUGUUGUCAAUUUAUUCUUUAUAAUGAUGGAUUUCUUGGGUGGGGGAAUCCCCCCCACAUCCCUUACCAUUAUUCCUAAUAUAAUAUUGUGAAUUAUUCCUACGUCUUUUAUCCUAAAUUCUCCUUAUAACUGAAUCUGGCAGUGUUAGUCUUUGUUUGGAGACAUUGUGUGGAGCUGUGUUUACAAGCUCUGCAUACCGGGGUUAUUAGAGAGGCUGUGUUUACAAGCUCUGUACACCGCGGUUAGUAGAGAGGCUGUGUUUUACUUGCUGUGUGUCUGAUGAAUACUCGUGUCUGACUGAUGUGUAAAUGAAAUCUAGGUAUGGGUGUUGCUAGAUUUAUAUAUACAUUUUACUUAUAUAUAGAAAGAGAUAUAUUCACGUGUAUUGUUAUUACAAAGAUUUGCCCCUCAGUUAACCAAUAGAUAAUUGUGAUUUUUUUGGUCAUUACAAAUCCAUUACAUGUAUCAGUUGUACUUUUUUUUUUUCAAGUUGAUUUAAGCUGAUGUUAAUAAAUUGAAUUUUCUCUUGCAAAUAACUUGAUAUAAACAGGAAAAUAAUGCACUGAGAAAGAGAACAUCUAGAGUUCUUGAUUUUAAAUGAUUAUAAAUGAUGUGUUUUGGAAUGUUUUAAAAAUGAUAGAUGCAAUGUAUGCAAAUUAAUUGCAGAUGAAAGCACCAUUAAAUUUGCUCCAUUUCUGUAAUUUGACUCUGAAUCCCGAGAGAUUUCAUUAUCAUUGUGUAUGUCAGUAUGCUUUCCCCCAUCUUGGACAUUUUCUGCCACAGUUGUUUAUGCACUUCAUACACAUUUCACACUGCGCUUAUUGAAAAUCCAUUUAAUCUGUGUCAAAUUGGUUCAUUUCAUAAAACUAUUUUAUCAUGAGCUGUGAAAAUAUUGAAUAAACUUGUUAUAGAUG